CCCUCUUAAUUGGUGAGUUGACUUCUCUAUGUGAGUCAGACACCUGAUUUCCCCACAAAGAUCUUAAGGUCUGAUACCUGCCCUCAAGAAGCAGGUGGGUGGGUGUGGGUGUGUGUGUGUGUGUGUGUGUGUGUGUAUGAGAUGAAGCUCUCAUGGUGCCAAGAAUACAGUGUGAUUCAAAGGACACCUUGAUAGGCUCUACCUGGAGCCUCAGCAAACAGAGGUGGUGAUGCUUCUGGCCAGAAAGCAAGAGCAGCCAGAAACCACAGGCCUCAAGUCUUCUCUGACCCAUGGUUCUUGCCUGGAAACAUGAAGUGCUGGUAUAUUGAACCAGUCAAACCUCAAGAAUGGAGCUGAGCAGCAUGGCCGCAUUUCAGGCAAGAAACAGCUGUGAAAUUGGACGACUCGUGGUAUCUCGGGACCUCAGCUGGCCUCUCUGUGCCUCAGUUUCCUUAUCUGUAAAAGUGAUUAAAAUUAAAUCCAUGUUCAU
rnacentral:lncRNA from 1 species